UACGGAGGGUGCAAGCGUUAAUCGGAAUUACUGGGCGUAAAGGGUGCGUAGGCGGUUCGUUAAGUCUGUUGUGAAAUCCCCGGGCUCAACCUGGGAAUGGCAAUGGAUACUGGCGAGCUAGAGUGUGUCAGAGGAUGGUGGAAUUCCCGGUGUAGCGGUGAAAUGCGUAGAGAUCGGGAGGAACAUCAGUGGCGAAGGCGGCCAUCUGGGACAACACUGACGCUGAAGCACGAAAGCGUGGGGAGCAAACAGG
rnacentral:rRNA from 1 species